UAGACAAAUUAUUGUAUUCGAAUGUAUUUAUGGCGUGAAAUAAGGGAUUACACUAUUUUUAAAACGGAAAGUGAAUCAAUUAACAUAAUAGACUCAU
rnacentral:pre_miRNA from 1 species